rnacentral:rRNA from 1 species
GAUGAACGCUAGCUACAGGCUUAACACAUGCAAGUCGAGGGACCGGCGCACGGGUGAGUAACACGUAUCCAACCUGCCCUUUACUCGGUGAUAGCCUUUCGAAAGAAAGAUUAAUACCCGAUAUAAAGGAUGGGGAUGCGUUCCAUUAGGUUGUUGGUAAGGUAACGCCUCACCAAGCCUUCGAUGGCUAGGGGUUCUGAGAGGAAGGUCCACCACAUUGGAACUGAGACCCGGUCCAAAAUCCUAGGGGACGCAGCGGUGAGGAAUAUAGGUGAAUGGACGCUAGCCUGAACCAGCCAAGUAGCGUGAAGGAUGAAGGGUUAUGAAUCGUAAACUACUGUUAUAUAAGAAUAGGUAUUAUAUGAAUAAGGAUCGGCUAACUCCGUGCCAGCAGCCGCGGUAAUUC